GGAUCCUCCCGAAAUGAAAUGAAAAGUCCUGUAAUUUUUGACAGAGGAAUUUUCGAAAAAUUUCUGCCAAUAGAAUUGCUGGAGAUCGAUACGCCGAUCAGCCGUUUUUCUUUUUCUACGAUGGUGUGGAUGCACCUUUAAGGAUCAUGUCACAGUACCGUUCGAGAUGUAGGUCAGGCCUCAAAUAUGAUUAGGAGAGAGCAUGCGCGAAGCAAUUUUAGAAACUGAUAAUUAUAUAAUCGAAAUAUAAGAACCUUUAUUCAACAUAAUUGCUUUCCUAGAAUUAAAAGACAUCACUAUAUAGUUUGAUAAAAUUGAUCACAUUGAGUUUUCAAUUAAUAGCAUUAUCCAGUGUCUUAACAGCAUAGUACAAUCCACCCUCACAAAACUUAAUCCAAUAAGCAUCCGCAUUUACGUCAAGAAAAUUAUGAUAGUGAUUUUAUUCUAAAUAUGUAACUUAAUUUUGAAAAGGGUAUAAUUUAAAUAAUGUACAUUUUUGAACUAAUAGAUGCGUCGAGUUUUCGAACAAAUAAUAGGAGGAAGCCAAUUUAUUAGUUUCUUUGCUAUUUAAAUCUCACCAAAAACGAUCGAUAGUAUUGGAAAAACGCAACAAAAACCGAGGACAAUAUUGAAACUUUUCCAGUUUGAUUUGUUCGCUCCGUCUGGCAAAUAUAAAGUUUUCCACGGUGCGCCCGUGUGGUAGCUUUUCCAUUUUGUACGAUAAACUCGUUUUUGGUUUUUGCGUACGAGUCGAACAAUAAAAGAUUUAGAAAAAAAAGUAGAAAUGAUUCUGUUAUUUCGGUACGAUAUAACAGGUUAGUUCCAACAUAGCAGAGAACCGUUCUUGAUACGGUUACGCUUCUGCGCUGUAGUAAAAAUGCAAAAAAGAAAUAACAGUUUUUUUUACCUUCUUAUUUUAUUGUUUAUAUUUAUUAUUGACUUUUCCACCACCUUUUUUACA